rnacentral:rRNA from 1 species
UACGAAGGGGGCUAGCGUUGCUCGGAAUUACUGGGCGUAAAGGGCGCGUAGGCGGAUAUUUAAGUUGGGGGUGAAAUCCCGGGGCUCAACCUCGGAAUUGCCUUCAAAACUGGAUAUCUUGAGUUCGGGAGAGGUGAGUGGAACUCCGAGUGUAGAGGUGAAAUUCGUAGAUAUUCGGAAGAACACCAGUGGCGAAGGCGACUCACUGGCCCGAUACUGACGCUGAGGCGCGAAAGCGUGGGGAGCAAACAGGAUUGAG